UGAACCUAGCGGCGAAUGGGUGAGUAACACGUGCUUAAUCUACCCUUUAGAUUGGAAUACCCAAUGGAAACAUUGGCUAAUGCCGGAUACGCAUGGAAUCGCAUGAUUCCGUUGUGAAAGGAGCCUUUAAAGCUCCGCUAGAGGAUGAGGGUGCGGAACAUUAGUUAGUUGGUAGGGUAAUGGCCUACCAAGACUAUGAUGUUUAGCCGGGUCGAGAGACUGAACGGCCACAUUGGGACUGAGAUACGGCCCAAACUCCUACGGGAGGCAGCAGUAGGGAAUAUUCCACAAUGAGCGAAAGCUUGAUGGAGCGACACAGCGUGCACGAUGAAGGUCUUCGGAUUGUAAAGUGCUGUUAUAGGGAAAGAACACCUGGUUGAGGAAAUGCUUCCAGGCUGACGGUACCCUGUCAGAAAGCGAUGGCUAACUAUGUGCCAGCAGCCGCGGUAAUACAUAGGUCGCAAGCGUUAUCCGGAAUUAUUGGGCGUAAAGCGUUCGUAGGCUGUUUAUUAAGUCUGGAGUCAAAUCCCAGGGCUCAACCCUGGCUCGCUUUGGAUACUGGUAAACUAGAGUUAGAUAGAGGUAAGCGGAAUUCCAUGUGAAGCGGUGAAAUGCGUAGAUAUAUGGAAGAACACCAAAGGCGAAGGCAGCUUACUGGGUCUAUACUGACGCUGAGGGACGAAAGCGUGGGGAGCAAACAGGAUUAGAUACCCUGGUAGUCCACGCCGUAAACGAUGAUCAUUAGUCGGUGGAGAGUUCACUGACGCAGCUAACGCAUUAAAUGAUCCGCCUGAGUAGUAUGCUCGCAAGAGUGAAACUUAAAGGAAUUGACGGGG
rnacentral:rRNA from 2 species